UACAGAGGUCUCAAGCGUUGUUCGGAUUCAUUGGGCGUAAAGGGUGCGUAGGUGGCGCUGUAAGUCGGGUGUGAAAUUUCGGAGCUUAACUCCGAAACUGCAUUCGAUACUGCGGUGCUUGAGGACUGGAGAGGAGACUGGAAUUCAUGGUGUAGCAGUGAAAUGCGUAGAGAUCAUGAGGAACACCGAUGGCGAAGGCAGGUCUCUGGGCCACUACUGACGCUGAGAAGCGAAAGCAUGGGGAGCGAACAGG
rnacentral:rRNA from 1 species